UUCCGGUUGAUCCUGCCGGAGGCCAUUGCUAUCGGUGUCCGAUUUAGCCAUGCGAGUCGCACGUUCAACGUGGCGAACGGCUCAGUAACACGUGGUCAAACUACCCUACGGACCGUGAUAACCUCGGGAAACUGAGGCUAAUAACGGAUGUCGCUCCCGAGCUGGGAUGCUGGGAGCGAUAAAGCUCCGGCGCCGUAGGAUGUGACUGCGGCCGAUUAGGUAGACGGUGGGGUAAUGGCCCACCGUGCCGAUAAUCGGUACGGGUUGUGAGAGCAAGAACCCGGAGACGGACUCUGAGACAAGAGUCCGGGCCCUACGGGGCGCAGCAGGCGCGAAACCUUUACACUGCACGCAAGUGCGAUAGGGGGACACCGAGUGCGAGGGCAUAGAGCCCUCGCUUUUGUGCAUCGUAAGGUGGUACACGAAUAAGGGCUGGGCAAGACCGGUGCCAGCCGCCGCGGUAACACCGGCAGCCCGAGUGAUGGCCGCUUUUAUUGGGCCUAAAGCGUCCGUAGCCGGCCGUUCAGGUCCGUCGGGAAAUCCACUGGCUCAACCAGUGGGCGUCCGGCGGAAACCGAUCGGCUUGGGACAGGGAGACCAGAGGGGUACGUCCGGGGUAGGAGUGAAAUCCUGUAAUCCUGGACGGACCACCGGUGGCGAAAGCGCCUCUGGAGAACUGAUCCGACGGUGAGGGACGAAAGCUGGGGUCUCGAACCGGAUUAGAUACCCGGGUAGUCCCAGCUGUAAACAAUGCUCGCUAGGUGUGUCGCANGCUACGAGCCUGCGAUGUGCCGUAGGGAAGCCGAGAAGCGAGCCGCCUGGGAAGUACGUUCGCAAGGAUGAAACUUAAAGGACUGGCGGGGG
rnacentral:rRNA from 1 species